AAGCGGCAAAAUAAGCAUUUAUUGUGUUGUUAAAAGCCCUAAGCCAUGAGCCAGGGUAUGUGAGGUGCAUGAUUACUUGAUUAGGGGCUAAACUCUGGAAAACCGGACCUUCGGCGACUAGCUGCCAACUUUCCCAACUCACUUUUACAUCAGCUCCUUUGAUUAAUAAAUUCAGGUAAAAUUCGUAAGAACUAAGUGCCUGUGCCAUUCUCUACAUUGGACGCUAUGCCUAAUUAGUUGUUAUUGAUGUUGAAUUUUCAGUGGCAUAUAAGACACCGGUCGUAUAACGACUUAGAAAUUUGGAUGUUUUCAGUUUGAAUGAAUAGCAAACUGGAGAGUUUUUGAUUAAUUUAAAACUUAUUAUUUUAGGUAUUUUGUGACGAAAGGUCUUCACAGACAUCGACAGAAAAUCGGGAAAGCCCGGCCAGAUGCGUCAGACCACGCAAAAUGGAGGAUUCCAUGCCUACUUGUCUUCUUCUACCAUGUAUAGGAACGCAUGAAAAACGAAAGUUUAAAAGAUAAUAAAUUUACGAUGGCUGUGGGAAAGCAACAAUAAUUUAAAGCAUCGAUAUAAGAUAAUCAUCUAUAAACUGUUUUCGGCCAUAGCGAAUACGUUUACCGCUAAGAAUGUCUCAAAGUAAAAAAAAGAAGUUCAAUAUACUGGCAUUGGUUUCACCAAGAACGAUGAGCGAGAAGCGAUUAGAAAUAUAAAACUGGAAACGAGUUGGGGCGUCCGGCUGCGACCGAAGCGAGUUUUUGAAUGCGAGUUUGACGUUUUAAACACCGUAUUUAAGGUUAAUAAGGUCUACAAGCUUCGAGAAGGAGGUCAACCGCCGAAUCCAACUUGGUUGGGCAGCGUUCGGGAAACUACGUAAUGUCUUUUCGUCCGACAUACCUCAGUGCCUCAAGACGAAAGUCUUUAAUCAAUGUGUGUUACCAGUGAUGACUUACGGCUCCGAAACGUGGUCUUUCACUAUCGGCCCCAUCUCAAAAUUCAAAGUCGCUCAACGAGCUAUGGAGAGGGCUAUGCUCGGAGUUUCUCUGCGUGAUCGAAUCAGAAAUGAGGAGAUCCGUAGACGAACUAAAGUCACCGACAUAGCCCACCGGAUUAGCAGGCUGAAGUGGCAAUGGGCAGGCCACAUUGCGUGCAGAGAAGAUGGCCGAUGGAGUCGAAAAGUGCUCGAGUGGAGACCACGGACUAGCAAACGCAGCGUAGGACGUCCACCCACAAGAUGGACGGACGACCUUGUUAAGGCCGCCGGAAGACGCUGGAUGCGGAUCGCUUCCAACCGGUACGAGUGGAGGUCCAAGGGGGAGGCCUAUGUUCAGCAGUGGACGUCUUAUGGCUGAGAUGAUGAUGAUGAUGAUGAAGGUCUACAAGCAAAUAUCAGCCUUCGUGAAUUAAGUAUUGUAACCUUAGUCACAGAAUAGUAGUACAGUGGAACCUCGAUAGCACGGAUCUCAAGGGAAACGCCAAAACUUCGUGUUAACGAGGUUUUAUCUUAUAGAGUGCAUCGACUUAGAGAGGUUCUUGUAGGUUUUUGUUAGUGUCCGACCGAAACAUGUUUUUUUGCCGAAACCGAAACCGAAACCGAAUGUUCGGCUUUGGCUCUAGUUUCGGCCGAAACCGAAACCGAAACCGAAACUUUUGUAGAAUUGAUAAAAUCGUUGAAAAAUGUCAUAAAACCGCUUUUAUACACAUAUUAUGAGGCUGUCAACACCGAAUGUCCUUGAAAUUGAUGUUACUUAAGCAGUUUUUUUAAGAAAAUUACUAAGACCAAGAUAAUUCUGCAACGAUUUUGAUAACACACGCAGUGCAAGUGUUAUUUUAAACGUCAAAACUUCUAUGAAAUUAUGACGUAUCAAUAACAUUUGCACUAGUUGCACUGCGUAUCAAAAUCAUUGCAGAAUUUUCUUGGUCUAACUCUAUUCAGUCACCAGUCAAGCUAACAUGUAGAUACAGGGUCAACCAAAACACCAACCAAAAACGCGAGCGCAGCGAGCGCGAAAUAUUUUGUUAACAAUAUCGCAAGGCCAGGUACCGAUCUUCACCUGGGCCUAAAAGUCCGAAGUGCCCCAGUGAGGCGAACUUUCAUGCGAAGUCAAAGCCGUGCUUCAGGCUUCAGGAUAAGUAGUUGAGCACAGACUCCAACUAAUGUCCAUUGUAUUAAAAAGCGAGACCGCAGUUUCGUCGACGUUCGACGUUCGACGGAGCAAAAGUUUUUCGGAACUUAUUUACCUACGAAAUAUCAUUUGAUAUUUACUAUUUGCUUUUCGGUGAAGGAAAAACAUCGUAAGGAAGCCGGACUAGAUCCGAUAAGGCCUAGUUAAAACUCUGGGUUUGAAGGUCUGUCUGAUGGCAGUCGCUUUCGUAAAAACUAGUGCCUACACCAAUUUUUGGGAUUAGUUGUCUAUUGGACCCCAGGCUCCCAUUCCCAUUGCACGGCAAAAAUUCCGGGAUUACGCGAGGAAGAUGAUGAGUUUUCUUAUUAUUCUCUUGCCCAGGGCCCAGUAACAUGCGACAGUGCUAUCUCAUUCACUCCGAUACAAUUAGACAGUGUGCGCGUUAUAAGUAUUGACUAGGGCUUGCAAUAUCGGAUGGUCUCCAAUUCCGGAACUGAUUUUCGAUAUUGGAUUCGAAUUCCGGAAUUCCGGAACUGGUUCCGGAAUUAGGGGUUAUCGUAUUUUACCUAAUUUUUUUUGUAAAAUCCAAUAAAAAAUGUGAAAUUCUGAUACUUUACGUUUAUUAAAGUUAAUAUUGUUUAAGAGAAAUUUAAUUUGAAGUACUACAGAUAAUUUCAUCUCUUUUUUACCACCUUAUUAAAAUGGUUACUUUUAUUCAAUUCUAUGAUACGCGGUAUUUAUUCGGGGAAAAUUUGGUUGCUAGCAAACCAUUCAAUGGAUAAUUUUAUAAAAUAGUUAAAUAUAACAGCUCUAUAAUCAGCCUACUCUUCGUAACAUAGUACGUAGUGGUGUUGUUUAAGAAGUUGAAGGUCGAAAUUUGGCUUUUUCCUUCCUAGAUCCUAUUUAUAAUUCAGAAUAUCAUAUAUUAUAUGCUUCUACAGGAUCCGAAAUCGUUGAUAGAGAAAACUUUCUAUCUAAAUCGAAGAUUCGCUCAUGUAGGAUUGAGACUAUUCUGACUAUUCUAAGCAAGUAAAUCACUUUGCUUUUUUUUAUGAGCCCAUAUUGUCCCACUGCUUUAUCAAACCGAAAAGUAAAAUAUACCCAUACUAUAGGUCACUGAAUGACUAAGAGGAACUUAUUAACAACAAAAAACAUCAGUAUAGUGUAGUUUCUUAACAAUUUUCAAUAAUAAACGUAUUCAAACCUGAAAAAAGUACUUAAAUCCAAUUCCGGAAUUUUCGAUAUUCAGUUGUAUCAAUUCCGGAAUUGUAAUAUCGGAAAAUUUGUCCGAGAUUCCGGAAUUUCGAGAUUCCGGAAUUCCGGAAUGCAAGCCCUAGUAUUGACAGCCUCUUAAGACUGCGUCGGCCGUCCAGUGGCGCCCUCAUUAGUGGAAUUGUGUUUUAUAAUAAACCAAUUAAUUUCUGUACCUAUACAUGAAUCAGUAUUUGUAGAUAUUAAUAUUGUUGUCCUACUUAUUCCCCAACUUUUGGUCAUUGUCCGAAGUACCAUUUCGUAAGUUUCGGCCCGGCCGAAAGGUUCGGCCGUUUUUUGGCCGAAACCGAAACUACAGCCGAAACAUGAUUUUUUGGCCGAAACUGGCCGAAACCGAAACCGAAACCGAACCUUCGGUCGGACACUAGUUUUUGUUAGUCUUAAAAACACAUUAAAAUUCGUGUUAGGCAGGUGAUUAUACAUAGACACGUAAAAAUACAGUUUCUUUUUUUUUGAGUUACAGAGGUUCGUUAGUAAUAUCGAUAUAGAUGUGGUAAAACAAUACGACUAUUUUUUCUAGUUGCAUGGUCUCUCCGACCGCCAAGCGAACAUCGCUUAGCGAGUACCUACCGCUAAGCGACUUUAUCGUUGACAGCUUUUAUCGCUGCGAGUAAAGAGUGCAAAGAGAGUCCUCGCCGGCAAUGUGAACAGCCAGCGAUCAACUAUUAAUAUAGGUACCUAUCUAUUGUCUUUUACCGACACGGAAUCUCUAUCUUAUCGCUUACACGCCCUUGGUGCUUGGACUAGUGCAUAUCCAUACUUAAUAUUAUAAAGGCGAAAGUGUGGCUGUCUGUUUGUCUGUCUUGUCUGUUACCUCUUCACGCUUAAGCCACUGAACCGAUUUAUUUGAAAUAGGUAUGGUAUAGAGAUUGGUAUUAUAGUCCCGAGGAAGGACAUAGGAUAGUUUUUAUUCCAGAAAUCAUCCCUUAAAGGGGUGGAACUUUGUAUGGGGACUUAACACAAACUGGACAACAAACUUUGUCAAUAGGAACUGUCCCGCCCGCGCGGUGUAGCACCGGUGCUGGUGCACGAUUUAGUUGGGUACAUAGAGAUAGUUUGAGUCCCGGGGAAUGACAAAGGGUAGUUUUCAUUCAAGAAAUUACCUUUUAACUGAUUGAAUAAAAUAAUAGCUACCUACCUAAAUUAAUAAUUCCACGCUGAAGAUGUCGCGGGGAAAAGCUAGUAUAUAUAUAACAGAGAUGAGCCACUGAAAAUAUUAUUGAUACACAAUUAUGUAGACACCUAACCUAUUUUAUAUUAAGUAAGGAUAUAUUAUUAUCACUGCCAAAAUAAGGUUAAAGGUGCCGCCCUGUAGUAGUAGAAGGUAUUGUGAUAAAUAUUUUUCUU